rnacentral:rRNA from 1 species
UACGUAGGGGCCGAGCGUUGUCCGGAGUUAUUGGGCGUAAAGCGCGCGCAGGCGGCUUCGCGCGCCCGACGUGAAAGCCCCCGGCUUAACCGGGGAGAGUCGUUGGGGACGGCGGAGCUUGAGGGCGGGAGAGGUCGGUGGAAUUCCCGGUGUAGUGGUGAAAUGCGUAGAGAUCGGGAGGAACACCUGUGGCGAAGGCGGCCGACUGGGCCGACCCUGACGCUGAGGCGCGAAGGCGUGGGGAGCAAACAGG